rfam:Gossypium arboreum cultivar AKA8401 contig_80155_3, whole genome shotgun sequence.
AAUCCAUGGCGAGGACACAUUCGCAGUAGGUCCUUGUAUCUCUCCCAUGCAUUGUAAACAGUUUCUAAGUCCAUCUGUACAAACGAAGAGAUAUCAUUACGUAAUU